rnacentral:tRNA from 1 species
GGAAGUUUAGCUCAGCUGGUUAGAGCACCUGCCUUACAAGCAGGGGGUCAUAGGUUCGAAUCCUAUAACUUCCACCA